GACGAACGCUGGCGGCGUGCUUAACACAUGCAAGUCGAACGGAAAGGCCCUGCUUUUGUGGGGUGCUCGAGUGGCGAACGGGUGAGUAACACGUGAGUAACCUGCCCUUGACUUUGGGAUAACUUCAGGAAACUGGGGCUAAUACCGGAUAGGAGCUCCUGCUGCAUGGUGGGGGUUGGAAAGUUUCGGCGGUUGGGGAUGGACUCGCGGCUUAUCAGCUUGUUGGUGGGGUAGUGGCUUACCAAGGCUUUGACGGGUAGCCGGCCUGAGAGGGUGACCGGCAACAUGGGGACGGUACGACAGACAAGACUCAGAGGGGGGGUGGCAGGGGGUAAGGGUGCCGAAUGGGCGGAAUCCUGCUGCAGCGACGCGGGGGGGGGGUUGGCCGUCGUGGUGUGGUAUACCGAUGUCCGCGUGGACGAAGCGUGAGUGACUGGAAGGGGCAAAGAAGCACCGGCUACCUACGGGCCGGCGGCCGCGGUAAUAGGGGCGAGCACCCGUUUCAAC
rnacentral:rRNA from 1 species